rnacentral:rRNA from 1 species
UGGAGAGUUUGAUCCUGGCUCAGAGCGAACGCUGGCGGCAGGCUUAACACAUGCAAGUCGAGCGGGCACCUUCGGGUGUCAGCGGCAGACGGGUGAGUAACACGUGGGAACGUGCCCUUCGGUUCGGAAUAACUCAGGGAAACUUGAGCUAAUACCGGAUACGCCCUUUUGGGGAAAGGUUUACUGCCGAAGGAUCGGCCCGCGUCUGAUUAGCUUGUUGGUGGGGUAACGGCCUACCAAGGCGACGAUCAGUAGCUGGUCUGAGAGGAUGAUCAGCCACACUGGGACUGAGACACGGCCCAGACUCCUACGGGAGGCAGCAGUGGGGAAUAUUGGACAAUGGGCGCAAGCCUGAUCCAGCCAUGCCGCGUGAGUGAUGAAGGCCUUAGGGUUGUAAAGCUCUUUUGUCCGGGACGAUAAUGACGGUACCGGAAGAAUAAGCCCCGGCUAACUUCGUGCCAGCAGCCGCGGUA